rnacentral:rRNA from 1 species
AGUACGUGAAACUGCUUAGAGGUUAAGCCCGAUGAACCUGAAUAUCCAUUAUUGAAAAUUCAAUAUUAAUUAAAUGAUAUAUAUCAUAUUAUUGAAAUAGUAUGCAAUUUUUCAAUAUAAGGACAUUGUAAUUUGUUAAUGUUAUAAAUAUUUAUUAAAAGAUCUUUUACUUAAGUUUAUUUAAAUUGUUUAUUUUCGGAUAUUCAACAUAAAAUAAAUGUAUUAGAUUUGAUAAAUCAUUGACAGAUAUAAUUAUAUAUUGUGCUUAAAUUUUUCGGAAUUUUACAAUAAUAGAUGGAUCUAUUGAUUUGUUUAUUCAUUGUAUGCACUUUUAUGAUUAACAAUGCGAUAGAUUCAGGAUACCUUCGGGACCCGUCUUGAAACACGGACCAAGGAGUCUAACAUAUGUGCAAGUCAUUGGGUAUUUUUAAUAAAACCCAAUGGCAUAAUUAACUUAACUGUUAUUUAUGAUGGGAUUAAUUUAUAUUUUGUUAUGAUUUAUUUAUUCAAUCCCGGGGCGUUCUAUACAGUUAUGUAUAAUAAUAUUUAUAUUAUUUAUGCCUCUAACUAGAGCGUACCUUGAGC